rnacentral:lncRNA from 1 species
CCUACCGUUUUAGGUGAAUAAAUAAGUUCUCUCCGUUGCUGCCUCUAUACUUGACUAUAUGUUUUGUUAUAGGCUGUACAUCUCAGAAUAUGGUUCACUCUUGGAAUGACUACCAUUUUCUAACAUUUAAUUGGCUCUAAAAGUACUUGUAUCUCUGAAUGAGAUUGGAUUAGCCACCAUCUCUGCUAUUUUGUACGAUUUUAGGGUAUGAGGCCUAACUUCUUUCGAAAGUUGUCAAGU